UAAACCUGCAAUAUGUCAAGAGACAGAAGAACAUCUAAAAACACAAAUCUGACCCGAAAACUCAUUUCAAAUAAUGAAGAUUAAAUCCUGAACACUUUCCUCAUCGACCAACAGGAAAAGCUCUUCGUCUGCAGCAAAGCGAAUCACAUCCUGAAUGGACUCCCUGCUCUGAACAUUGCCUGUAGGGUUGCCUGGGUUACUGAUGUAAAUCGCCAUUGGAAAGCACCGCCCCCUUGUAGCCUGGAUGGUUCUGUUUAGCUCCGCCCUCUCCACACUCCACCCACUCUCUUCUUGCAGCUGAUAGGUCACCGGAACCACACCCAUCCCCUCCAGGAGGCGUGUCAGAGUGUGAGGGGCGGGGUCUGGGAUCAUAACCGUAGAAACGCCCUCUGAUUGACACAGCAGCCGCAGCAUCACC